UGUUUGGGUGCAGCAUGAAUCCAGAUGUUCAUCUCUCAUUGCAGGUAGACUGUGCAGCAUGAAUCCAGAUGUUCAUCUCUCAUUACAGGUAGACUGGGUGCAACACGAAUCCAGAUGUUCAUCUCUCAUUACAGGUAGACUGGGUGCAACAUGAAUCCAGAUGUUCAUCUCUCAUUACAGAAUGUGACCUUUAAAAAGUCCCCAG